UACAGAGGUCUCAAGCGUUGUUCGGAUUCAUUGGGCGUAAAGGGUGCGUAGGCGGCGCGGUAAGUCGGGUGUGAAAUCUCGGGAGCUUAACUCCGAAACUGCAUUCGAUACUGCCGUGCUUGAGGACUGGAGAGGAGACUGGAAUUUACGGUGUAGCGGUGAAAUGCGUAGAUAUCGUAAGGAAGACCAGUGGCGAAGGCGGGUCUCUGGACAGUUCCUGACGCUGAGGCACGAAGGCAGGGGGAGCAAACGGG
rnacentral:rRNA from 1 species